UUAACUAUUAUAUAGUACUCAGACGACACUAACAUUCAGGGUUUGGGGUCUCUGGCGGGCGCUUACCAGCCGGAGCCGGUAGCCUGACCGAGGCCUGACGGCCCGCCAAAGCAACAAAGUGAUGAUAACACAGGGUGGGAGAUCUACCCCGAAGGGCAUGAGCUCGGUAAUGAUCCCUCCGCAGGUUCACCUACGGAGA
rnacentral:misc_RNA from 1 species